rnacentral:rRNA from 1 species
GACAGUGGGUGCAAACGUUGCUCGGAAUUACUGGGCGUAAAGCGCGUGUAGGUGGAUUGGUGUGUCAGAUGUGAAAUCCCUGGGCUCAACCCAGGAACUGCACCUGAAACUACCAGUCUUGAGUGGUGGAGAGGGAAGUGGAAUUCCUGGUGUAGAGGUGAAAUUCGUAGAUAUCAGGAGGAACACCAGUGGCGAAGGCGGCUUCCUGGACACCAACUGACGCUGAGACGCGAAAGCCAGGGGAGCAAACGGG